GUUUAGAUUGCAGCCCGACUUGAGCGGAAAUCCUUUUUUAGCAUGGAAAAAGCAAUGGCCAAAAAAGAUUGGGAGCGGAAGGCGGAAAUAGCU
rnacentral:sRNA from 3 species